rnacentral:miRNA from 1 species
UUGAAGAGAGUUACUUGAAAG